rnacentral:rRNA from 1 species
AUUGAACGCUGGCGGCAGGCCUAACACAUGCAAGUCGAGCGGAUGAAGGGAGCUUGCUCCUGGAUUCAGCGGCGGACGGGUGGGUAAUGCCUAGGAAUCUGCCUGGUAGUGGGGGAUAACGUCCGGAAACGGGCGCUAAUACCGCAUACGUCCUGAGGGAGAAAGGGGGGGAUCUUCGGACCUCACGCUAUCAGAUGAGCCUAGGUCGGAUUAGCUAGUUGGUGGGGUAAAGGCCUACCAAGGCGACGAUCCGUAACUGGUCUGAGAGGAUGAUCAGUCACACUGGAACUGAGACACGGUCCAGACUCCUACGGGAGGCAGCAGUGGGGAAUAUUGGACAAUGGGCGAAAGCCUGAUCCAGCCACGCCGCGUGUGUGAAGAAGGUCUUCGGAUUGUAAAGCACUUUUAGUUGGGAGGAAGGGCAGUAAGUUAAUACCUUGCUGUUUUGACGUUACCAACAGAAUAAGCCCCGGCUAACUUCGUG